CUUUCCCUUGCAGCCCUUCCCAACAUCCAGCAAGGGGAGCUGAGAGCCCGGCCCUAUCCCCAUCACUGCAACCAAGCUGUCCCUGGCGCUCCUGUCUUCCCUCGUUGAAUGGUUCCAGCUCCAGCUUGGCAAGGAGAGACUGGCAGACAGAUCAGGGAACUGGUGAGCAGGAGGACUGAUGUGAGGAUCACACAAAGCUCAGGGGCAGAGGAUGGAGCCCGCUCCCCCCGCCGACAGGACUGCUUUCCAUCACAGCUGUAACUCUGCACACUCACGGAGAGCGAAGGUGGGAAGGAGUGACCAGAGGUGAUGGCUGCAAAGGUGAAAGAGAAAGCUGAAACAAGGAACAACAGCAAAGGGGAAAGCUGCCCUUUAACUCAGGCCGUAUCACAGUGAAUUCCUGCCUCCAUCGGUGUCAGCAGAGGGAUUGUGUGAUCAUAUAAAUUACAGAACACCAGCAAGAGGCAGAACGCAGCAACGUGCAGAGAAGCUGGCCCUGAUCCUGGUGCAGAAGAGCAAUCCUGCUGCUGUCAGAGGAGCUGCACUGACAUAAAUCUGCUGUAAGCAGGAGCAUCACAGAGCCCUGCAUUGGACGUUUUCCACCUUCCAGAGUGAACGGGUGGACUCCUCUGAAGCAGACAAGCCUCAGUGUGCACAGCUGUCCUUCUGAGAUGGAUGUUGCUAUCUGCAGCAGGCAGCUUUGCUGGUUUUUCUUCCCCCUCACCGUUUCUGCCAAGAGAACUGGAGGGCUGCGGUCGGUGGCACCACUGAGGGACACAUGAGCUGACAGUCAGUCUGCUACAGCAAAUAUUGCAGUCGUUUCCAACAAAGGCAAAACAAAUCUCACGUAUUCAGUGGCACCGCAGGUCAGGCACGAAGCUGUGCCAGCUCCCACAGUUCGGGUAGGAAGAGAAACCCAAGCAGUGCAGAGAGAUGAAAAUGAUGGCUGACCAACCAGCCAGGAGCUUCUAAUCACAUUACUGCAUUCUGCACACAGUGUGCCAUCGCUGUGAGCUGCAGUCUGGAGCUCCAAAAACGUGCAAGAGCAGAACUCCUAUAAAACACUGACAGCAUUGGGAUCACCAGCACAAGGGAGCAUUCUGUUUGGAUUCUUUGCCCUGGAGGCAAUUGAUGACCUUUCUUCAGCUCCGUGUCAAUCUGGCCAUGCAGGGAGACUUCCCCACACUGACACCAGGUAGGAUUCUUCCUGCACAGUUGCUCCCAUGUAGCAUCCAAAGGUAGGGAACUCCGUCUUGUGAAUGUGCUGAAUUUCCACCAACCACAUCACUUCAUUUUGGGCUGUGUUGUCCCCCUGGGGCUGUCCUCGAUGGACCUAAAAGCGCACCCAACACAGCUCCGAACACAAAACACAGAACUGAAGUUGGAAGGGACCUUUAAAGGCCAUGUGCUCCCACUCCACCAAACAGGGACACCCAUCAAUGCUCAGAGCACCGACCCCGGUGUGCCUGCAGGGAUGGGGAGGCACUCCAAUCCUUGCACCAAUGCAAAAAGCACAAAAAGCUUUUUCCUUACGCUCAAUCUCCCCCCCCCCCCCCCACCUCGAGAAACCAUUUCCAUUCCCUUCAUCCCAUCGCAGCAGGAUGAAUUAGAAAAA